rnacentral:rRNA from 1 species
AGAGUUUGAUCCUGGCUCAGGAUGAACGCUGGCGGCGUGCCUAAUACAUGCAAGUCGAACGAAUCUCUUUUAGAGAUGAGUGGCGAACGGGUGAGUAAUACAUAGGUAACCUGCCCCUGUGCGGGGGAUAACAGGAGGAAACUCCUGCUAAUACCGCAUAGCCAUGAGCACCGCAUGGAGCUCAUGCCAAAUAUCCUUUAUGGGAUAGCGCAGGGAUGGACCUAUGGCGCAUUAGCUUGUUGGCGGGGCAACGGCCCACCAAGGCAACGAUGCGUAGCCGGCCUGAGAGGGCGGACGGCCACAUUGGGACUGAGACACGGCCCAGACUCCUACGGGAGGCAGCAGUAGGGAAUUUUCGGCAAUGGGGGAAACCCUGACCGAGCAACGCCGCGUGAGCGAAGAAGGCCUUCGGGUCGUAAAGCUCUGUUGUAAAGGAAGAACGGCGCAUACAGGAAAUGGUAUGCGAGUGACGGUACUUUACCAGAAAGCCACGGCUAACUACGUGCCAGCAGCCGCGGUAAUACGUAGGUGGCGAGCGUUAUCCGGAAUCAUUGGGCGUAAAGAGGGAGCAGGCGGCCGCAAGGGUCUGUGGUGAAAGACCGAAGCUAAACUUCGGUAAGCCAUGGAAACCGGGCGGCUAGAGUGCGGAAGAGGAUCGUGGAAUUCCAUGUGUAGCGGUGAAAUGCGUAGAUAUAUGGAGGAACACCAGUGGCGAAGGCGACGGUCUGGGCCGCAACUGACGCUCAUUCCCGAAAGCGUGGGGAGCAAAUAGGAUUAGAUACCCUAGUAGUCCACGCCGUAAACGAUGGUCACUAAGUGUCGGGGGUCAAACCCCGGUGCUGCAGUCAACGCAAUAAGUGACCCGCCUGAGUAGUACGUUCGCAAGAAUGAAACUCAAAGGAAUUGACGGGGGCCCGCACAAGCGGUGGAGCAUGUGGUUUAA